rnacentral:RNase_P_RNA from 1 species
CAAGUAAACCGGGUGACCGCCCCCCUUCUUUAGAAGAGGGGAGGAAAGUCCGAGCUCCGCCGGGCAGGGUGCUGGGUAACGCCCAGGAGGGGUGACCCUACGGAAAGUGCCACAGAAACACACCGCCCCUAACGGGGCAAGGGUGAAAUGGUGAGGUAAGAGCUCACCAGCGGCUGGGUGACCAGUCGGCUGGGCAAACCCCAUCCGGAGCAAGACCAAAUAGGGGGACAUAGGGACGCUCGGCCUGUCCCUGGGUUGGUCGCUUGACCCUGGUGGUAACAUCAGGGCUAGAUAGAUGGUCACCGUCCUUCAGCAAUGAAGGAUACAGAACUCGGCUUACAGGUUUACUUGGCCU